rnacentral:rRNA from 1 species
UACGAAGGCCCCAAGCGUUAUCCGGAUUUAUUGGGCGUAAAGCGUUAAUAGGCGGCUUGAUAAGUCACCGGUCAAAUCCUCGGGCUCAACCCGAGGGCUGCUGGUGAAACUGUCUGGCUCGAGGUCGGAAGAGGCACACGGAACUACCGGUGUAGCGGUAAAAUGCGUUCAUAUCGGUAGGAACACCAAAGGCGAAGGCAGUGUGCUGGUACGAUCCUGACGCUGAAUAACGAAAGCGUGGGGAGCGAAUGGG